rnacentral:rRNA from 1 species
GACGAACGCUGGCGGCGUGCUUAACACAUGCAAGUCGAACGGAAAGGCCUCAGCUUGCUGGGGUACUCGAGUGGCGAACGGGUGAGUAACACGUGGGUGAUCUGCCUUGCACUCUGGGAUAAGCUUGGGAAACUGGGUCUAAUACCGGAUAUGAACUGCCUUUAGUGUGGUGGUUGGAAAGUUUUUUCGGUGCAAGAUGAGCUCGCGGCCUAUCAGCUUGUUGGUGGGGUAAUGGCCUACCAAGGCGUCGACGGGUAGCCGGCCUGAGAGGGUGUACGGCCACAUUGGGACUGGGGUACGGCCCAGGCUCCUACGGGAGGCAGCAGUGGGGAAUAUUGCACAAUGGGCGGGAGCCUGAUGCAGCGACGCCGCGUGGGGGAUGACGGCCUUCGGGUUGGAAACUCCUUUCGACAGGGACGAAGCUUUUUGUGACGGUACCUGUAUAAGAAGCACCGGCUAACUACGUG